CCUACGGGAGGCAGCAGUGGGGAAUAUUGGACAAUGGGGGGAACCCUGAUCCAGCGACGCCGCGUGAGUGAAGAAGUAUUUCGGUAUGUAAAGCUCUAUCAGCAGGGAAGAAAAUGACGGUACCUGACUACGAAGCCCCGGCUAACUACGUGCCAGCAGCCGCGGUCAUACGUAGGGGGCAAGCGUUAUCCGGAUUUACUGGGUGUAAAGGGAGCGUAGACGGCGCGGCAAGUCAGAUGUGAAAGGUCGGGGCCCAACCCCGGGACUGCAUUGGAAACUGUUGGGCUGGAGUACAGGAGAGGGGAGCAGAAUUCCAGGUGUAGCGGUGAAAUGCGUAGAGAUUAGGAGGAAGACCAGUGGCGAAGGCGGCUUACUGGACUGUAACUGACGUUGAGGCGCGAAAGCGUGGGGAGCAAACAGGAUUAGAUACCCGAGUAGUC
rnacentral:rRNA from 1 species